UACGGAGGGUGCAAGCGUUGUCCGGAAUCACUGGGCGUAAAGGGCGCGUGAGGCGGCUCGAUGAAGGCUGUGGUGAAAGUCCGGGGCUCAACCUCGGAUCGGCCGUGGCGACUCGUGGGCUGGAGCACUGUAGAGGCGGGUGGAAUUCCGGGUGUAGCGGUGGAAUGCGUAGAGAUCCGGAAGAGCACCAGUGGCGAAGGCGGCCCGCUGGGCAGUGGCUGACGCUGAGGCGCGACAGCGUGGGGAGCAAACAGG
rnacentral:rRNA from 1 species